CAUAUUUCACUUAGUAAAUAAAAGCAGAAACAAGAUCACCUUAUAAUUAUUUAGUCACUUGACAUUUUUAGGCCAUUUUCUUAUUUUGUACCCCAUUUAAUUGUUGUAAUCACAGAUUGAGAGCUCAAAAGCACACUUACCGAUCAUUUUAAUCGACACACAGUUUUCCACAAAGGAGUACUUGUCUUUUUUAGAUGUUUCUAAUUCCACCCUGAAACAAUACGGCCCGUUGUCAUGGUUUUUGACCUCAUCAAUCUCCAAGGAGCAGUUGGAACCACCCAGUGAACCAAUCAGGUUUGUACGUCCCUUGAAACUGUCUUUAACCCUCGUAGUGUCUUUGUGAAAAAUAAUAUCAUCCCAGUUGUCCUUCUUGUGCCACAUAGCUCUAAUACGAUCAGAGGGCUGUUCUUGAACGGGGUAUUUGAAUGAACAGGGCAACACGACACAAGAUGAGACCAGAGCCUGCAUUUCAGGCUCUACAGUUACCUUCCAGACAUCAGCAAACACG